UGACGGUACCCUACUAGAAAGGAGCCGCUAACUUCGUGCCAGAAGCGUCGGUAAUACGGGGGCUCCAAGCGUUAUCCGGUGUCAUUGGGCGUAAAGAGUCGUGUAGGUGGUAGGGUAAGUUAUCUUUCAAAUAUCUUUGCUUAACAAAGAGGAGGGGGAUAAUACUGCUCGACUAGAAUUUUCUCAAGGGAGAUCGGAACUGAGGGAGGAGUAGUGAAAUGCGUUGAUACCCUCGGGAACACCAGUGGCGUAGGCGGAUCUCUGGGAGAAGAUUGACACUGAGACACGAAAGCUAGGGGAGCGAAGCAGAUUAGAGACCUGCGUAGUCCUAGCCGUAAACGCAUGCUUGCUAGCUGCAUGAAUCUACCUUCGGGUGGUAUCGUGUGGCGAAGGUAACCCGUUAAGCAAGCCGCCUGGAAAGUACGGCCGCAAGGCUGAAAUUCAAAGGAAUUGGCGGGGAGGCACACAACCAGUGGAACAUGUGGUUUAAUUCGAGACUAACCGAAGAACCUCACCAGGGUUUGACAUGUAGCUGCACGUCUUAAGAAAUUAAGACUCUCUUGAAGGUGCUACACAGGUGCUGCAUGGCUGUCGUCAGCUCGUUCCGUGAGGAGUGCCCUUAAGUGGGACAACGAGCGCAACCCCUAUUACAUGUUAGAAAUGUCAUGUAAGACUGCCUUGCCAUUUGGCGGGGAGGAAGGAGGGGCAGACGUCAAGUCCGCAUGGUCCUUAUGCCCUGGGCUACACACAUGUUACAAUGAGUACGGCAAUGAGUCUGUCGCGAGCACGUAAGUGUAAGCUAAUCUCUUAAAUGUACUCUCAGUGGGGAUUGAGGUCUGCAACUCGACCUCAUGAACACGGAAUUGGUAGUAAUCGCGGGUCAGCUAUACCGCGGUGAUACGUUCUUGCCUCUUGCACACACCGCCCGUCAAACCAGCAAAGUCGAUUGUAUCCGAACCU
rnacentral:rRNA from 1 species